AACAGUCAGCUUCUUACUUGGAGGGUAGAGAACGGUGCUUCCCCACGCUGCUGUGCAAUGGAGAGGAGCUAUGUGAAGCUGGCGUAUGGGUGGGGUUUGCAGGCUUCGCCCGGCUUCAUCGCCGGCUACUGACCCGGCACCAAUUCCUGUUCUGCAGGUCUCACCGCAGAGGGGCACGCCAGCCAUGAGGACAGAUGAGGGAACACGUGAUGCCACGAUGGGGGUGCCAGGAUGAGGUGGGUGCGGUCGCGGACAGGCGCACGAGGAGCCCAGCGGGGCGUCACCCGGAGCAGGCGCGGAGGAGGGCUGGGGAGGGCCACCAAGGCGACGAGAGCCGGUGUGCCUGAAUCAGCCUAAAGGAGACGGAGGAGGAGUGUGUUUACCUGGAAGGUCCUCUCCUGCGCUGGCUCUGGGGGUGCUUGGAACCAGAGCCCCUUAGUCGAAGCGUGUCCUGCUGCCAGCUACCACCAAGUCCUUAGGCCGAGCCCGUUUCUCUCCUGGUGAUGUGAAUCCUCGUUUGUUGUUGUUGUUGUUGUUUACUGAAGUCCCGGGUUGAUUAGACACAGCAAUGGAAGCUGGGGGUGGCCUGGGCCGUGCUUUGAAUUUGUGACUUUAGCAAGUCCCUAAAUUCCUCUCUGC
rnacentral:lncRNA from 1 species